CCACCGAAAAGGUAAAGCACAAGUAAUUGGGCGGCACAAAGCUACCUAUCUCAAAUACUGGAGAUAGAGGGGCUGCCGAA
rnacentral:ncRNA from 1 species